rnacentral:rRNA from 1 species
UACGGAGGGGGCUAGCGUUGUUCGGAAAUACUGGGCGUAAAGCGCACGUAGGCGGCGCAGCAAGUCAGGGGUGAAAUCCCGGGGCUCAACCCCGGAACUGCCUUUGAAACUGCAGUGCUAGAAUUCUGGAGAGGCGAGUGGAAUUCCGAGUGUAGAGGUGAAAUUCGUAGAUAUUCGGAAGAACACCAGUGGCGAAGGCGACUCGCUGGACAGAUAUUGACGCUGAGGUGCGAAAGCGUGGGGAGCAAACAGG